rnacentral:lncRNA from 1 species
CUCCUUCAUUCUUACAGCAAUGUAUUUUUAAAAAUAUUAAAAAUCUUCAUGUAAAAAGUACUCAGUCAAUAAAAACAUGUCUGUAUUUUAAAAUAUCCACUGCAGAUAAAAUAUUAAAUUAUAUCCAUAUGUUAAUUUGCCUCUGGGGGCCAAAAUUGUGUUGAAUAAAUUUUUCCCUGUACCGUAUGGGUUGAUCAUCUUUCAAUUAGAAUCAGUCACGUAAUUUAGUAAAAAGAGAUAAACAAAUGGACAUUUCCUUACAUUAAGGAUAAACAGUGCCCCUAAUUUUUUACAGCUUUGUCAUCUCACUCCUUGGACAUCUUGUUUGUCAGGAUAUGCCAGUAUACCAGGCCCCCACCUGCCACCAUCAAUUAUCACUCUCUUGUCAUCGGUACCCUCACUUGUCAAUUUAUUUGCCACAAAUCCAGUGAAGACCUCUAAUCAGGGAGAAAAAAAAACAAAAGUAGUUCAUCUUUACAAGUCACAUCCAAGGAAGCAGAAGAGGCCAUAACCCCAGACCUCAUGGGGACCCAGUGAGCAGCACUCAGCCCAUCACCUCUACCAUUAUCCAUCUUUCCUUCAGCUUCAUCCUACUCUGCCUUCCUACGCCUUCUUUAAAUAAAUGCAGGCAAAUGAACA